GGGACUAAAGGAAGACAUGAACAAAGUCAGGAGAACAAUGUAUGAAUAAAAUUAGACUAUCAUUAAAGAGAAAUAAAAAGGAGCUGAGGUCAGGCGCGAUGGCUCAUGCUUGUAAUCCCAACACUUUGGGAGGCAAAGGCGGGCGGAUCAUGAGGUCAGGAAUUCGAGACCAGCCUGGCCUCCAUGGUGAAACCCCAUCUCUACUAAAAAUACAAGAAUUAGCUGGGCAUGGUGGCGUGCCUGUGAUCCCAGCUACUGGGGAGGCUGAGGCAGGAGAAUCACUUGAACCCGGGAGUUGGAGGUUGCAGUGUGUCGAGAUUGUGCCACUGCACUCCAGCCUGGGUGACGGAGCGAGAUUCUCUCUAAAAAAAAAAAAAAAAAAAGGAGCUGAAAUGAAAUUCUGGACCUGAAAGAUACAGUAACUAAAAUGAAAAAUUUACAUAGAGGGGUUCAAAAACAGAUUUGAAGGAGCCGAAGAAGGAACCAGCAAAUUUGAAUAUAUUUCUUUGUUAAAUACCCAUGGAACCCUGUUCCUUCUUCUUCCCCCCUGCUUCCUUAGCUCAAGCCUUCUUCAUCUUAGGCAGCUUCCAAACUAUUCUAUCAACCUCCUCUUUUCCCUGCUCUAGUUUUACUUAGAGUGAUCUUUAAAAAAAACCCAAAUCUAAUAUUGUCACUGUCCUUUAAAAUAUCCAAGGGCACCCGUGUGUCUAUAGAGUGAACUUCAGUUUCCUUAUUUUAGCAUUCAAGGACCUUCCUAUUUUGGCUCCAGCCUACCACAUUGCUUUAUUUCACACCAGCCCCACAUUCCAUUCAUAUACUGUAACCACAUUUUCUUGGGUACAAAGUCACUUACUGAAAAAAAGUUAAGCAUAUUUGGAAACCAAAAUUCAUUUUCUGUGAAUGGGAUAUCAACAUAUAGCAUUGGCAGGCAUUGAAACAGACUAUAGUCUAUUUUUAAAAUGACUUAGAUGAUAAAAACAACAUAUAUAUCAUCACUAAUCCAGUGGUCAAUAUUAGCAUAAUUCUGUAAGAUUCCGUAAAUGUUGCAUCUAUUGUAGAUACAAUGUUAUGUAUCUAACAUAACAUCUAACAGGUUAGAUACAUAACAUUGUAUGUAAUAUAAUGAAACAUGAAGUAUGACCUGUCACUUGUGAGGUGUACUAGUUUGAUAUGUUUGACUUGAAUCCACUGAGUCUUCAAAUAUAACUUUCUUGUUCAAGAAAUACAAGGCUUAUAGGAACAAGCUCAAUGACUUCAUGAGGAAGCAACCACUCAGAUAAAAACAUUUUGCACUUCAAGUGGCCUGAUUUCUACAGUGAACAAGAAUCUUUUAAUUUUUUUUUAAGUGCCAUAAUUAAAAAGUCAAGGGAUGUAACCAGAUGGAAUUUAUGGUCCUGAAUUGGAUACUGAUUUGGGAAUACUGGUUGUAGAAAAAUAUAAUUUGGUCAACAGAAUAUUUGAUUGUAGUUAGGUAUUGUAUGAGAGGAAAUUUUCCUGUAAUAUUACUCAUUUAAGAAAGCCAACUGUAAAAAUAACUUUAGGUUGACAGAAAAUGUGAAUGUGAUCUAGGAAUUAGGUGAGAAGAAAAUGUACUGAAAUAAGGUAGAUAUUUUUAAUUGAAAAAGGAGAUGACUAAAGUGAUCUCAUUUUGAAAAAAAAAAUACACACACGCAGAAGGAUAUACUCUAAAAUAUUAACAUUGGCGCUGGGAAUGCCAUGUUUUUUGUUUUUCAUUAAAGCAUAGAGACAGGGUCUCACUAUGUUGCCCAGGAGUUCGAGGGUGGAGUGUGAUACGAUCGUCUGUGAAUAGCCACUGCACUGCAGCCUGGACAAGAUAGGGUCUCUUUAAAAAUAAGACUUAACUAGCACUUUAAUAAUCAUUGUUUUUGUUCCCCACUACAUUGUACAUUCAUUGAGGACAGGGACUUUAAACUUCAUUAUAUUGCUGUUGCUGUGUUUCACCUUUGAAUGAUAUUAAAAUAAAAAUCUCAUCUUUGAGUCACA